rnacentral:rRNA from 1 species
UGUGGGAUCAGUGGCGAACGGGUGAGUAACACGUGAGCAACCUGCCCCUGACUCUGGGAUAAGCGCUGGAAACGGCGUCUAAUACUGGAUAUGUGACGUGACCGCAUGGUCUGCGUUCUCGGAAAGAAUUCUCGGUUGGGAAUGGGACUCGCGGGCCUAUCAGCCUGUAGGUGAGGUAAUGGCUCACCAAGGCGUCGACGGGUAGCCGGCCUGAGAGGGGUGACCGGCCACACUGGGACUGAGACACGGCCCAGACUCCUACGGGAGGCAGCAGUGGGGAAUAUUGCACAAUGGGCGGAAGCCUGAUGCAGCAACGCCGCGUGAGGGAUGACGGCCUUCGGGUUGUAAACCUCUUUUAGCAGGGAAGAAGCGAAAGUGACGGUACCUGCAGAAAAAGCGCCGGGCUAACUACGUGCCAGCAGCCGCGGUAAUACGUAGGGCGCAAGCGUUAUCCGGGAAUUAUUGGGCGUAAAGAGCUCGUAGGCGGUUUGUCGCGUCUGCUGUGAAAUCCCGAGGCUCAACCUCGGGCCUGCAGUGGGUACGGGCAGACUAGAGUGCGGUAGGGGAGAUUGGAAUUCCUGGUGUAGCGGUGGAAUGCGCAGAUAUCAGGAGGAACACCGAUGGCGAAGGCAGAUCUCUGGGCCGUAACUGACGCUGAGGAGCGAAAGGGUGGGGAGCAAACAGGCUUAGAUACCCUGGUAGUCCACCCCGUAAACGUUGGGAACUAGUUGUGGGGUCCAUUCCACGGAUUCCGUGACGCAGCUAACGCAUUAAGUUCCCCGCCUGGGGAGUACGGCCGCAAGGCUAAAACUCAAAGGAAUUGACGGGGACCCGCACAAGCGGCGGAGCAUGCGGAUUAAUUCGAUGCAACGCGAAGAACCUUACCAAGGCUUGACAUAUACGAGAACGGGCCAGAAAUGGUCAACUCUUUGGACACUCGUAAACAGGUGGUGCAUGGUUGUCGUCAGCUCGUGUCGUGAGAUGUUGGGUUAAGUCCCGCAACGAGCGCAACCCUCGUUCUAUGUUGCCAGCACGUAAUGGUGGGAACUCAUGGGAUACUGCCGGGGUCAACUCGGAGGAAGGUGGGGGAUGACGUCAAAUCAUCAUGCCCCUUAUGUCUUGGGCUUCACGCAUGCUAACAAUGGACCCGGUUACAAAGGGCUGCCAAUACCGUGAGGUGGAGCGAAUCCCAAAAAGGCCGGUUCCCAGAGUUCUCGGGAAUUGAGGUCUGCAACUCGACCUCAUGAAGUCGGAGUCGCUAGUAAUCGCAGAUCAGCAACGCUGCGGUGAAUACGUUCCCGGGUCUUGUACACACCGCCCGUCAAGUCAUGAAAGUCGGUAACACCUGAAG